rnacentral:tRNA from 1 species
AAAUAAUUAGUGUUAAAUGCACAUAAAAUUUUCAAUUUUAUAGACAAUUUAUUUU